rnacentral:rRNA from 1 species
UGCUGGAGGUAUCAGAAGUGCGAAUGCUGACAUAAGUAACGAUAAAGCGGGUGAAAAGCCCGCUCGCCGGAAGACCAAGGGUUCCUGUCCAACGUUAAUCGGGGCAGGGUGAGUCGACCCCUAAGGCGAGGCCGAAAGGCGUAGUCGAUGGGAAACGGGUUAAUAUUCCCGUACUUGGUGUUACUGCGAAGGGGGGACGGAGAAGGCUAUGUUGGCCGGGCGACGGUUGUCCCGGUUUAAGCGUGUAGGUGUGUGUUCCAGGUAAAUCCGGUUCACUUUAACACUGAGGCGUGAUGACGAGGCACUACGGUGCUGAAGCAACAAAUGCCCUGCUUCCAGGAAAAGCCUCUAAGCAUCAGGUAACAUCAAAUCGUACCCCAAACCGACACAGGUGGUCAGGUAGAGAAUACCAAGGCGCUUGAGAGAACUCGGGUGAAGGAACUAGGCAAAAUGGUGCCGUAACUUCGGGAGAAGGCACGCUGACACGUAGGUGAAGUGAUUUACUCACGGAGCUGAAGUCAGUCGAAGAUACCAGCUGGCUGCAACUGUUUAUUAAAAACACAGCACUGUGCAAACACGAAAGUGGACGUAUACGGUGUGACGCCUGCCCGGUGCCGGAAGGUUAAUUGAUGGGGUCAGCGCAAGCGAAGCUCCUGAUCGAAGCCCCGGUAAACGGCGGCCGUAACUAUAACGGUCCUAAGGUAGCGAAAUUCCUUGUCGGGUAAGUUCCGACCUGCACGAAUGGCGUAAUGAUGGCCAGGCUGUCUCCACCCGAGACUCAGUGAAAUUGAACUCGCUGUGAAGAUGCAGUGUACCCGCGGCAAGACGGAAAGACCCCGUGAACCUUUACUAUAGCUUGACACUGAACAUUGAGCCUUGAUGUGUAGGAUAGGUGGGAGGCUUUGAAGCGUGGACGCCAGUCUGCGUGGAGCCGACCUUGAAAUACCACCCUUUAAUGUUUGAUGUUCUAACGUGGACCCGUUAUCCGGGUUGCGGACAGUGUCUGGUGGGUAGUUUGACUGGGGCGGUCUCCUCCUAAAGAGUAACGGAGGAGCACGAAGGUUGGCUAAUCCUGGUCGGACAUCAGGAGGUUAGUGCAAUGGCAUAAGCCAGCUUGACUGCGAGCGUGACGGCGCGAGCAGGUGCGAAAGCAGGUCAUAGUGAUCCGGUGGUUCUGAAUGGAAGGGCCAUCGCUCAACGGAUAAAAGGUACUCCGGGGAUAACAGGCUGAUACCGCCCAAGAGUUCAUAUCGACGGCGGUGUUUGGCACCUCGAUGUCGGCUCAUCACAUCCUGGGGCUGAAGUAGGUCCCAAGGGUAUGGCUGUUCGCCAUUUAAAGUGGUACGCGAGCUGGGUUUAGAACGUCGUGAGACAGUUCGGUCCCUAUCUGCCGUGGGCGCUGGAGAACUGAGGGGGGCUGCUCCUAGUACGAGAGGACCGGAGUGGACGCAUCACUGGUGUUCGGGUUGUCAUGCCAAUGGCACUGCCCGGUAGCUAAAUGCGGAAGAGAUAAGUGCUGAAAGCAUCUAAGCACGAAACUUGCCCCGAGAUGAGUUCUCCCUGAGACUUAGAGUCUCCUGAAGGAACGUUGAAGACGACGACGUUGAUAGGCCGGGUGUGUAAGCGCAGCGAUGCGUUGAGCUAACCG